GCUGGUUUUCCAUCUCCGUCAGAAUGCUCCGGCUCAGCUCCUGCAACGCCGAGAAGCUCACACAGGAAGAAGGCUUCGGAACACGCAGUGACAACCGACGAGAGUGGCUCCACCUUGGUUUUUGUUUAAACAAGAAAAUCAAGUUGAGCAACCCACACACAUGGGAGAGACCCAGGAAAACUGACUCGCUCACUAUGAUGGCCGAAGCCCUCAUCGUAAAUAAACCUCACUGUGCUGAACUCA